rnacentral:rRNA from 1 species
AUUGAACGCUGGCGGCAUGCUUUACACAUGCAAGUCGAACGGCAGCGCGGGCUUCGGCCUGGCGGCGAGUGGCGAACGGGUGAGUAAUACAUCGGAACGUGCCCAGUAGUGGGGGAUAGCUCGGCGAAAGCCGGAUUAAUACCGCAUACGACCUGAGGGUGAAAGCGGGGGAUCUUCGGACCUCGCGCUAUUGGAGCGGCCGAUGGCAGAUUAGCUAGUUGGUGGGGUAAAGGCCUACCAAGGCGACGAUCUGUAGCUGGUCUGAGAGGACGACCAGCCACACUGGGACUGAGACACGGCCCAGACUCCUACGGGAGGCAGCAGUGGGGAAUUUUGGACAAUGGGCGAAAGCCUGAUCCAGCAAUGCCGCGUGCGUGAUGAAGGCCUGCGGGUUGUAAAGCACUUUUGGCGGGAACGAAAAGGACUGUGCCAAUACCACGGUUCGAUGACGGUACCCGCAGAAUAAGCACCGGCGAACUACGU